rnacentral:rRNA from 1 species
GAUGAACGCUGGCGGCGUGCCUAAUACAUGCAAGUCGAGCGAACAGACGAGGAGCUUGCUCCUCUGACGUUAGCGGCGGAAGGGUGAGUAACAAGUGGAUAACCUACCUAUAAGACUGGGAUAACUUCGGGAAACCGGAGCUCAUACCGGAUAAUAUAUUGAACCGCAUGGUUCAAUAGUGAAAGACGGUUUUGCUGUCACUUAUAGAUGGAUCCGCGCCGCAUUAGCCAGUUGGCAAGGUAACGGCUUACCAAGGCAACGAUGCCUAGCCGACCUGAGAGGGUGAUCGGCCACACUGGAACUGGGACACGGUCCAGACUCCUACGGGAGGCAGCAGUAGGGAAUCUUCCGCAAUGGGCGAAAGCCUGACGGAGCAACGCCGCGUGAGUGAUGAAGGUCUUCGGAUCGUAAAACUCUGUUAUUAGGGAAGAACAAAUGUGUAAGUAACUAUGCACGUCUUGACGGUACCUAAUCAGAAAGCCACGGCUAACUACGUG